CCUACGGUGGCUGCAGUGGGGAAUAUUGGACAAUGGGCGAAAGCCUGAUCCAGCCAUGCCGCGUGUGUGAAGAAGGCCUUCGGGUUGUAAAGCACUUUCAGUGGGGAAGAAAGCCUUGGGGCUAAUACCCUCGAGGAAGGACAUCACCCACAGAAGAAGCACCGGCUAACUCCGUGCCAGCAGCCGCGGCAAUACGGAGGGUGCGAGCGUUAAUCGGAAUUACUGGGCGUAAAGCGCGCGUAGGCGGUCUGAUAAGCCGGUUGUGAAAGCCCCGGGCUCAACCUGGGAACGGCAUCCGGAACUGUCAGGCUAGAGUGCAGGAGAGGAAGGUAGAAUUCCCGGUGUAGCAGUGAAAUGCGUAGAGAUCGGGAGGAAUACCAGUGGCGAAGGCGGCCUUCUGGACUGACACUGACGCUGAGGUGCGAAAGCGUGGGUAGCAAACAGGAUUAGAUACCCUAGUAGUC
rnacentral:rRNA from 1 species